rnacentral:rRNA from 1 species
UACAGAGGUCUCGAGCGUUGUUCGGAUUCAUUGGGCGUAAAGGGCGCGUAGGUGGCGCGGUAAGUCGGGUGUGAAAUCUCGGGGCUUAACUCCGAAACUGCAUUCGAUACUACCGUGCUUGAGGACUGGAGAGGAGACUGGAAUUUACGGUGUAGCGGUGAAAUGCGUAGAGAUCGUAAGGAAGACCAGUGGCGAAGGCGGGUCUCUGGACAGUUCCUGACACUGAGGCACGAAGGCCAGGGGAGCAAACGGG